ensembl:lncRNA
AUGCACUGGGCUGAGCCCUGGUGGGUGCAGAGGCGGUUCGGCUGCAGGGGGAGCGACCUGUGCCAGGACUCGAGGGAGCAGAUCCCGACCAGACACCACGGAGGAGAAGAAGGGACUGGACCCACAGCCAGACUCUGUCCUCUGUCAGCAUGUCCAAGUUCCAUAAGGUUUUGGGCCCAAGCCCUCAGCUGUAGACCAGAGCUGCUCACAGGUGGCACUCAAGUGUGGACCUGCCACAUCGCUCCCCAAACCAGAGUCUCCUCCUUUGGGUUUUGGGGGGCCCCCGCUCCCCAGCCUCGUGGGGGAGCCCCUCCCUGGCAGUGGGGCCUCCCCCCAGGAAACGCCGAUGACCAGCCACCCUCCAGCUCGCCCUCGCCAGCCCUCCUGACCCACCGCUGGCAGGAGGCACCGCCAAUUCCAUUUGUUAAACAGUUUUUUUUUUUUUUAAGUGUAAAUGAUAAUAAUAAAAUUCCACGAGUCUUUCUUUUUUUUUCUCUUUUCUCUCCCCUCAGGAUAAAUUUUAUGCGGCUGGCAGUUAAAAUAAGCGAUUACCCCAUAAAUACCAUCUUAAUAGCCUCGUCAACGCUACGGCCUCCGCUGUCCUGAGAUUUUUAUCUCAGGAAAGGGGGAGGGAGGGAGAGAGAAAACCACAACCCUUUAGAGCGCUGCGGCGGCGGCUGCCGCCGCUCGUUACUCGCUGCGUAGCUGGGGGGGCGGAGGGCUCCCCCCUUCCCCCGGGGGCAGCCGCGGGGCCGCCCCCUCCCCCGGCGUGGCCGUUGGCGUGG